rnacentral:rRNA from 1 species
GAUGAACGCUAGCGGCAGGCUUAAUACAUGCAAGUCGUGGGGCAGCAGGGGUAGCAAUAUCCGCUGGCGACCGGCAAACGGGUGCGCAAUACGUACGCAACCUUCCUUUAAGCGGGGAAUAGCCCAGGGAAACUUGGAUUAAUACCCCAUAGUAUGAUGAAGAGGCAUCUCUUUAUUAUUAAAGCUCCGGCACUUAAAGA